AGUGAACGCUGGCGGCAGGCCUAACACAUGCAAGUCGAACGGCAGCACAGGAGAGCUCGCUCUCUGGGUGGCGAGUGGCGGACGGGUGAGGAAUGCGUCGGAAUCUGCCUAUUUGUGGGGGAUAACGUAGGGAAACUUACGCUAAUACCGCAUACGACCUACGGGUGAAAGUGGGGGACCGCAAGGCCUCACGCAGAUAG
rnacentral:rRNA from 1 species